AGGAAAGGGGAGAGCUUUUCAAAGAGCUGGGCUAGGAACUUUUGCAACUCUCUGGAAUGAGAAAGGAAAAAGGCAAAAGGAGCAGCAGCAACUAGUCCAGCAUGAUGUCAGAGUGGCUGUCAAAGAGGAUUUUUACUCUCGCGCAGGUGUAAGUGGGUGGUUUUUACUCUCAUGCAGGUGUGAGUGGGUGGUUUUUACUCUCAUGCAGGUGUGAGUGGGUAGUUUUUACUCUCGUGCAGGUGUGAGUGGGUGGUUUUUACUCUCAUGCAGGUGAGUGGGUGGUUUUAACUCUUGUGCAGGUGAGUGGGUGGUUUUAACUCUCGUGCAGGUGAGUGGGUGGUUUUUAUUUUCAUGUGAGUGUGAGUGGGUGGUUUUUAUUCUCAUGCAGGUGAGUGGGUGGUUUUUAACUCUCAUGCAGGUGAGUGGGUGUU
ensembl:lncRNA